ACCACUUUCACCUUAAAUAAGUGUUUUAAAAGAUAAUUGGGAGUUCACUGGACCAGUUCAAUUACAGUUUCUAAGCCUGGAGUGCAUUUCCAAGGCUUCAAGAACAGCCAGCACCAGUUGGGACCACGCCCCCAUGAUGCUCCCCUGCCGUUCUGUAGGAGACCCAGGUCCACGAGGAAGGAACAACAUCUGGAAAGUCAGGUGACCUUCUCUACAAGAUCACUUAGGCAGCCACCUAGAAAAUGUAGCAGUCCUCACAUCACCAGAGAAACAUCUGGAAAUCAUGUCCCAUAGUACUGGGCUCAAAUUCCCCUUUCACAGGUGAAGAAAACACAAGCAAUAUGAAUUCAAG
rnacentral:lncRNA from 1 species